rnacentral:misc_RNA from 1 species
GAUGAAGAACGUAGCGAAAUGCGAUAAGUAAUGUGAAUUGCAGAAUUCAGUGAAUCAUCGAAUCUUUGAACGCACAUUGCGCCCGCCAGUAUUCUGGCGGGCAUGCCUGUUCGAGCGUCAUUUCAACCAUCAAGCCCCCAGCUUGUGUUGGGGACCUGCGGCUGCCGCAGGCCCUGAAAAGCAGUGGCGGGCUCGCUGUCACACCGAGCGUAGUAGCAUACAUCUCGCUCUGGGCGUGCUGCGGGUUCCGGCCGUUAAACCACCUUCAUAACCCAAGGUUGACCUCGGAUCAGGUAGGAAGACCCGCUGAACUUAAGCAUAUCAAUAAGCGGAGGA